rnacentral:lncRNA from 1 species
AGAAGAGAGAGAAGAUGCAUCCGAACCAGGGCGUCUUGUCGUCCUUGCGGGGCGAGGGCGAUAUGAAUGAAAGGCAGGCAGUUCUUUUCUCUGUGGUUGAAGUGAACCAGUCUUUUCUUUAAUGACUCCAGAUUUGGAGACUUAGAAAGGUCCUUCCAAGUUCAAGGGAUGAAGAGAGAAGGGCCGUGACUCCGCAAGUGUAACAUUUGGGCACAGGCAUACUUCCUGUACUCAACAGGAAGUACUCAACAUACAUCUGUUGCACUACUGCACUUCUAAAGGUCUGAUUUUCCUGAAGUCAUGGACUAUGUCUUUUGACUUUCCACAGCAACUAGAAGAGUUAUUUAAACUAAACAAGAG